UACCAGCACCCCGAGUGGUCGGGACGUUUAUUGGGCCUAAAGCAUCCGUAGCCGGUUCUACAAGUCUUCCGUUAAAUCCAACUGCUUAACAGGUGGGCUGCGGAAGAUACUAUAGAGCUAGGAGGCGGGAGAGGCAAGCGGUACUCGAUGGGUAGGGGUAAAAUCCGUUGAUCCAUUGAAGACCACCAGUGGCGAAGGCGGCUUGCCAGAACGCGCUCGACGGUGAGGGAUGAAAGCUGGGGGAGCAA
rnacentral:rRNA from 1 species